rnacentral:rRNA from 1 species
CUACGGGAGGCAGCAGUGGGGAAUAUUGGACAAUGGGCGAAAGCCUGAUCCAGCCAUGCCGCGUGAGUGAUGACGGCCCUAGGGUUGUAAAGCUCUUUCGCCAGGGACGAUAAUGACGGUACCUGGAUAAGAAGCCCCGGCUAACUUCGUGCCAGCAGCCGCGGUAAUACGAAGGGGGCUAGCGUUGUUCGGAAUUACUGGGCGUAAAGCGCACGUAGGCGGAUGCUUAAGUCAGGGGUGAAAUCCCGGGGCUCAACCCCGGAACUGCCUUUGAUACUGGGUGUCUGGAGGUCGAGAGAGGUGAGUGGAAUUCCGAGUGUAGAGGUGAAAUUCGUAGAUAUUCGGAGGAACACCAGUGGCGAAGGCGGCUCACUGGCUCGAUACUGACGCUGAGGUGCGAAAGCGUGGGGAGCAAACAGGAUUAGAAACCCUGGUAGUCC